CCACAAGGAUGAUGGACUUGAACUCUCUCUCUCUGUAUUGGCAGUGGAGAUAUAACCUCACUGGCUGAGUGGU